rnacentral:rRNA from 1 species
GUAACGCGUGGGUAACCUGCCUCAUACAGGGGGAUAACAGUUAGAAAUGACUGCUAAUACCGCAUAAGCGCACAGUGCUGCAUGGCACAGUGUGAAAAACUCCGGUGGUAUGAGAUGGACCCGCGUCUGAUUAGCUAGUUGGUGGGGUAACGGCCCACCAAGGCGACGAUGCGUAGCCGACCUGAGAGGGUGACCGGCCACACUGGGACUGAGACACGGCCCAGACUCCUACGGGAGGCAGCAUG